GUUGAUAUGUUCCAAUGUGUUAUGAGCGAGUGCACCGUUUGGCUGACAUUUGUGUCCCCGGCAUUUCUAUUUUCGUGUGUCGCACUUGUAAAUUAUCCACUUGUAUUUAUCAUAGAUUGGUUUAGAGAUAUAGACCUAGAUACAGUCUGUUACUUUCAUACUCUGCUUAAUCAUGCCCGGAUUUUCCGACAGAGAUCGUGGCAGAGACAGGGGGUAUGGAGGUGCACCUCGUUUUGGAGGUGGGGGUGGUGGCAGUAGGGGUGGACCCCCACAGGGGAAAUUUGGCAACCCAGGUGAAAGACUGCGUAAGAAACACUGGAACAUGGAUGAGCUCCCAAAGUUUGAGAAGAACUUCUACCAGGAGCACCCGGAUGUGACCCGCAGACCACCUCAAGAGGUGGAGAACUACCUGAGAAGUAAAGAAGUAACAGUGAAAGGCAGAGACUGCCCUAAGCCAAUGAUGAAGUUUCAUGAGGCCAAUUUUCCAAAUUAUGUGAUGGAUGUGAUUGCCAAACAGGGAUGGGCUGAGCCAACUCCUAUCCAGGCUCAGGGCUGGCCUCUGGCCCUCAGUGGGAAAGACAUGGUGGGCAUCGCCCAGACAGGCUCUGGUAAAACCCUUGCUUAUCUUCUGCCUGCAAUCGUGCACAUUCAACACCAGCCAUUCUUGGAGCAUGGAGACGGACCUAUAUGUUUGGUGCUGGCCCCGACCCGUGAGCUGGCCCAGCAGGUGCAGCAGGUUGCCGCUGAGUACGGCAGGGCCUCCCGUCUGAAGUCAGUCUGCGUCUAUGGUGGAGCGCCCAAAGGACCCCAGAUUCGGGACCUUGAGCGAGGUGUUGAGAUCUGUAUUGCCACCCCAGGGCGUCUCAUUGACUUCCUGGAGGCUGGGAAGACCAACCUUCGCAGGUGUACCUACCUUGUGCUGGACGAGGCUGACCGUAUGCUGGACAUGGGCUUCGAACCCCAAAUCCGCAAAAUUGUGGACCAAAUUAGACCGGAUCGUCAGACACUCAUGUGGAGUGCCACCUGGCCCAAGGAGGUGCGUCAGCUGGCUGAGGACUUCCUAAAGCAGUAUGUCCAGAUCAACGUGGGUGCUCUGCAGCUCAGCGCCAAUCACAACAUCCUGCAGAUAGUGGACGUGUGCAACGACGGAGAGAAGGAUGACAAACUCCUCCGGCUGCUGGAAGAGAUCAUGAGCGAGAAGGAGAACAAGACCAUCAUAUUUACCGAGACCAAGAGACGCUGCGAUGAGCUCACCAGGAGGAUGAGACGAGAUGGCUGGCCAGCAAUGGGUAUCCACGGAGACAAGAGCCAGCAGGAGAGGGACUGGGUUCUCAAUGAGUUCAAAUACGGCAAGGCCCCCAUCCUUAUUGCCACCGACGUGGCCUCCCGCGGUCUAGGUCAGUAUGGCUUUGGUUAAACCCUCUGGUUGUUUACCUCAAUAUUUUCACUUUUUUAAAGAAAGUGGUUUUGGCUUUCUUUAACUUCUAUGCAUUUUCUGAGUUUUUCUCACCUAAAGGUGCAGUCUUUGUGGCAGGGCCUAGGCAUGACAAGUUCCAGGCCUCGAGGGGGAAGGAGGACAUAUUGGAAAUGAAGUUGCCCAACUGGCUGCCACCCAGUGGGCCUAGAGAGGUGAAAGCUCUGUGUGCCAGUAAUCCUCAAGUCAAAAGGCAGUGUGGCUAAGCCUCGUUUCUGAUAUCUUUUUUAUUUUUUAUACUUGACAUUAUUUGUUCUCUGUCCAUGGAUUUUACCUGACAAAUGCCUUCGUCGAGACGUUUCCAACUCAAACGUUACACACACAAAAACAAACCCUUGACGUGACCAUUUGCCUUGCAUGCGUUUUGUAGAGGGCACUGUAUUGCAAGUCACUCUUUGAGAUUUAUAGCGAUUCUGUUAGUUACGGAGCUUGUCCCUGAAAAAAGCAUGGGUGUUUUGCAAAUGUCACAGCUUUCCAUUGCUAUAUUUUUUUUCUCCCUCACUCAAAGCUCUGGUUUUCUUGAAAUGGAGAGAGCAGUUUUCAACUUACUGUUGUCGAAUCGAAAUUGAUGAGAAACUGGCACAUGUGUUUAAGGGGCUAUGGGAACAUCUAGAGAAAGUGAAAUAGAAGAGCUUCAAAAACCAAAGUUCCUCCCUCGCCUGCUUUUUAAAAGUCAUGUCGAGACCUGCCAACGAGAGACAUUUUCUCAAGUGAACGAACACUGGCUUCUGGGAAGAUCUUGCCUCGACGAGACUGAUGGGGGCGGGGUGCUCUAUGCUCUCUGAGGGGCACCACAGGGGUCAAUACUUGGUCCUUUUUCAUUUUUGCCUUUUUUGGGUCCCCCCUCAAAUUAGUACUUGGUCUAUUCGGUCUUGGCAAGACGUGCAGUGAGGCCUUUAUUAGCAAGCUUCUCAUGAGUGUGUACUGGGAAAAAGGACCUUCAGAACCCAUACCAACUGAAAGGUCCUAUAUUGGCACACGAGGAGGCAACAGUGCACAUAGCGGCCCUACUGCGUAGAAGCUCCUGGAUGUCACUUGACAAUUUGUGGGGGAGUUCGCUGCAUUGGGAAAGGACUAGUGAAUGCAUACUCCUUAAUGAUGUGGAGGAUGUGAAAUUUGUCAUAAAUUAUGACUAUCCUAACUCCUCUGAGGACUAUAUCCACCGCAUUGGACGCACGGCCCGCAGU